CAUAUGACCUAAAUUGUGUUUACUUUAUAGAGUCUAAAUGUAAAGCUUUUGCUAAGGUCAUCCUUUUAAUGACAUUCUCUAUCCUUUUGUGGCUCAGAGGCUGAAUCUUGAAAAGUUUUGUAUACAAAUGUACUUUGUACAAAACAACUUCGGUGCCCCGAGGAUUUCUGGUGUUGAAGAGAGGGAAGACGAGUUUGAUUUUUAAGUUUAAGCUCCAAGCGUUUAUGAGCUAAAUGGGGAUGCUAUUCUGAAUUAAGCCUCCAAUGUUUUGUUUCUUUUAUAGGCAAGAAAGGAUAUCACUGCUAAGAUGAUUCGUAAAGGAUGAAGUGGGGCUCCAGUUAUUUGAACCCAUUAGAAGGUCUCUGUCCCCAAAGACUAGAGCUUUUGAUGACAACCCCUUUCUCCUUCCAGGUAAAUCCAAUCCAAGCAAAUAAAAACAGGGAAAAAAGUAAAUUGAUAUAGGAGAUGGUGUAGAGAUAAAAGCAAUGAAGAAGAGGACAUCAGAUCCCCUAGAACUGGAAGUGGAAUUACAAAGGAUUGUGAACCACCACAUGGAUGCUGGCAACCGGACUCAGGAUCGCUGAAAGAGCCGUCAGUAUUCUUAACUGCUAAACAAUCUCUCCAGCCCAUAUACCAUAUUUUCAUUACCUUCUGGUUUGUUGACAGAUGAAUAUCCAGACUAGCUUAAUCUCCUUGCUAUUAUGACCAGAGCACAUGGAUUUUUAAGUAUCUCUGUGAUAUGAUAUAGGAUUCUUUGGGAAUACAUUUCAGGGUUGGUACAACUAAAACUUUCAUGCCUUCUAUUGUUAAUUUUAUUGGGCAAUCUCUACAAUGUAUAUAACAGUGGAAGCAGUUUCACGUCUACAAGUAGUGAGACCAGCUAAUAAUAUCCCUCUUUAUUUACCGAGUUGAAAAUGUGCAAGAUCAAAGGGCCCUGCUUACUCUUGGCACCAAAUUAAUAGCGGAUGUUUCUCACCAGAGUUUCAAAAGCAAGCAUAGACCUUGGGUACGUUGUCACAAUGUACAGAAACAAGUCAAAUUCUAAUAUUUUAUAUAAAUAUGUAGAAAUAAUCCGUUGCUUAGCUUAUAUACCUUUAGAAGUUUAAUGUACUGCACUGUCUAGUAAAAAAUCAAUUUAUAUACAGAUAGCUGAAAGAGAAAAGAUGAAGUGAAACACUGUGCCAUGCAAAGCUGGUGUGUAGAGGAGCGCUGCACUGCAGUGGCUAUCAGGAGCCAUGCUAUCCAGUGACCUAGAUGGUGAGAGUAAGGCAAAUGGAGAGGCAGCUAUCCAAUGAAAGUCAGAUGAUCAAACAUCAAGUGUGACAACCCCACUAGAGGGGAGUCUGUUCAUCUGUGACCCUCCCAAUUAUAAAAGGAAUUAGAGUCCAUCAAAAAUGAACUUUUUAUUUUGCUCAGUUAACCUCUUCGCCCCACCCCUCCUCCCCCUGUCUGUUCAAUUCUGCCAUCAAGUUCUGUAAUUUUGAAAAGCUGUUGUUUCUGAAGACCACCCCACAGAAGGCUGCAUUGUGUUGCUUUGCAGCCAUAGAUCCAGCAGUCUGUCCCUUGUUCAUCGCUGCUGCAUUCCUGCCCAAUCAGUUUGGAUUAUUGUAAAAUAGCAUUGGAGGUAGUGCUCAUUGUGAGGAAACAAAACACCACCACCACAAAUAAACAAAUGCUUCUCCAUUUAGCUUUUGUUCUUUCCCCACUCUGUAUCUUGACUUUCAAAUUCAUUUCAGGUGUGUGGUUGUUUGGCUUCAGAAAGACGUUUCCCUAUUGGGUAAUUUAGAUGAGGAAAAUUUAGGAGUUUCAGCUCGAAAAUUUACCUUCUAAGAAAUAAA